rnacentral:rRNA from 1 species
CAAUGCCGCUUCACGACCCAUAUUUGGACCGAGAUUGCCAACUGGCUCGGCCUCCUGGAUUUCUCUACUUUGGCUUGGGCAAAUGCCACCUCGGUGAGAGGUUGGUGGACUGAUACAGUGAACAAUACAAGACCACACUGGAAGGCUCUCACUUCGCUGAUGAUGUUGGUAUCGUGGGAGAUUUGGAAGGAAUGCAAUGCGAGAGUUUUCCGCAACACCGCCGCACCCAUCAUGUUAAUUGUCGGGAGGAUAAAGGAAGAGGCCCAUCUUUGGGUUCUAGCGGGUGCGAAAUACUUGUGUAAUAUAAUGCCGUGA